rnacentral:tRNA from 1 species
GGGGAUUUAGCUCAGUGGUAGAGCACUUGCCUAGCAAGCACAAGGCCCUGGGUUCGAUCCCCAGCUCA